rnacentral:rRNA from 1 species
CAGAGGGGGCAAGCGUUGUUCGGAAUUACUGGGCGUAAAGGGCGCGUAGGCGGCCUUCUAAGUCAGACGUGAAAUCCCUCGGCUCAACCGGGGAACUGCGUCUGAGACUGGAAGGCUUGAAUCCGGGAGAGGGAUGUGGAACUCCAGGUGUAGCGGUGAAAUGCGUAGAUAUCUGGAGGAACACCGGUGGCGAAGGCGGCAUCCUGGACCGGUAUUGACGCUGAGGCGCGAAAGCCAGGGGAGCAAACGGGAUUAGAUACCCCGGUAGUCCUGGCCCUAAACGAUGAAUGCUUGGUGUGGCGGGUAUCGAUCCCUGCCGUGCCGAAGCUAACGCAUUAAGCAUUCCGCCUGGGGAGUACGGUCGCAAGGCUG